rnacentral:rRNA from 1 species
UACGUAGGGUGCGAGCGUUAAUCGGAAUUACUGGGCGUAAAGCGUGCGCAGGCGGUUUUGUAAGCCAGAUGUGAAAUCCCCGGGCUUAACCUGGGAAUGGCAUUUGGGACUGCAAGGCUGGAGUGCGGCAGAGGAGACUGGAAUUCCUGGUGUAGCAGUGAAAUGCGUAGAUAUCAGGAGGAACACCGAUGGCGAAGGCAGCACUCUGGGACGUGACUGACGCUGAGACGCGAAAGCGUGGGGAGCAAACAGG